rnacentral:rRNA from 1 species
GGAGGAUCCGAGCGUUAUCCGGAUUUAUUGGGUUUAAAGGGUGCGUAGGCGGCCAAUUAAGUCAGGGGUGAAAUACGGUGGCUCAACCAUCGCAGUGCCUUUGAUACUGAUUGGCUUGAAUCCAUUUGAAGUGGGCGGAAUAAGACAAGUAGCGGUGAAAUGCAUAGAUAUGUCUUAGAACUCCGAUUGCGAAGGCAGCUCACUAAGCUGGUAUUGACGCUGAUGCACGAAAGCGUGGGGAUCGAACAGGAUUAGAUACCCUGGUAGUCCACGCCCUAAACGAUGAUAACUCGAUGUUGGCGAUAGACAGCCAGCGUCCCAGCGAAAGCGUUAAGUUAUCCACCUGGGGAGUACGCCCGCAAGGGUGAA